UGGGGAAUUUUGGACAAUGGGCGCAAGCCUGAUCCAGCAAUGCCGCGUGCAGGAUGAAGGCCUUCGGGUUGUAAACUGCUUUUGUACGGAACGAAAAGGCUCUGGUUAAUACCUGGGGCUCAUGACGGUACCGUAAGAAUAAGCACCGGCUAACUACGUGCCAGCAGCCGCGGUGAUACGUAGGGUGCAAGCGUUAAUCGGAAUUACUGGGCGUAAAGCGUGCGCAGGCGGUUAUGUAAGACAGAUGUGAAAUCCCCGGGCUCAACCUGGGACCUGCAUUUGUGACUGCAUAGCUAGAGUACGGCAGAGGGGGAUGGAAUUCCGCGUGUAGCAGUGAAAUGCGUAGAUAUGCGGAGGAAUACCGGUGGCGAAGGCGGCCCCCUGGACAAAGACUGACGCUCAGGUGCGAAAGCUUGGGGAGCAAACA
rnacentral:rRNA from 1 species